UAUUUCAUUGAGACUUCGGUGGAUUUGAUUUAUUUCUAGUGGCGGACGGGUGAGUAACGCGUGGGUAACCUGCCUUAUACAGGGGGAUAACAGUCAGAAAUGGCUGCUAAUACCGCAUAAGCGCACAGAGCUGCAUGGCUCAGUGUGAAAAACUCCGGUGGUAUAAGAUGGACCCGCGUUGGAUUAGCUAGUUGGUGGGGUAACGGCCCACCAAGGCGACGAUCCAUAGCCGGCCUGAGAGGGUGAACGGCCACAUUGGGACUGAGACACGGCCCAGACUCCUACGGGAGGCAGCAGUGGGGAAUAUUGCACAAUGGGGGAAACCCUGAUGCAGCGACGCCGCGUGAAGGAAGAAGUAUCUCGGUAUGUAAACUUCUAUCAGCAGGGAAGAUAGUGACGGUACCUGACUAAGAAGCCCCGGCUAACUACGUGCCAGCAGCCGCGGUAAUACGUAGGGGGCAAGCGUUAUCCGGAUUUACUGGGUGUAAAGGGAGCGUAGACGGUGUGGCAAGUCUGAUGUGAAAGGCAUGGGCUCAACCUGUGGACUGCAUUGGAAACUGUCAUACUUGAGUGCCGGAGGGGUAAGCGGAAUUCCUAGUGUAGCGGUGAAAUGCGUAGAUAUUAGGAGGACACCAGUGGCGAAGCGGCUUACUGGA
rnacentral:rRNA from 1 species